rnacentral:rRNA from 1 species
UACGGAGGGUGCGAGCGUUGUCCGGAAUCACUGGGCGUAAAGAGCUCGUAGGCGGUUUGUCGCGUCGAAUGUGAAAACCCGGGGCUCAACCCCGGGCCUGCAUUCGAUACGGGCAGACUAGAGUUCGGUAGGGGAGUCUGGAAUUCCUGGUGUAGCGGUGAAAUGCGCAGAUAUCAGGAGGAACACCGGUGGCGAAGGCGGGACUCUGGGCCGAUACUGACGCUGAGGCGCGAAAGCUAGGGGAGCAAACAGG